rnacentral:lncRNA from 1 species
UGGCAGGCAUUUAAUAUAUUUUAUUAACUUCAAACAUUUCCAACCUCUUAAAUGAUGCACAUAUUGUAACUAAUCCAUUUAUUAUGACUGUAAUGUGUUACACUUCAAAAUUUACAUAUUUGACCUAGAUACGACAACUGUUCAUGCUGGCUAUUCAAAACUCUUCCCUCUGAAAAAUCACAUUGCCAGUCGUUUGCUUGUUUACAAACGAAAAAAGGGAGGUUCAUGGAAGAGCCUAUACAAAAGUUCUACACCUAUACACAUCGAACAUAGAAAUUACCUAAAUUGUCCUAAUCACAAUGGAAAUAAUUGAUGCAAGCUAUGCUUUAUUUUAGUUUUAACAUGGGUAGGCAUUAUAUUCGUGUUAUGUUAGCCCUCAGUAUCCAUGUUAAAACUACAAUUAAGUAUAGGUUGCAUCAAUUAUUUCUUUAUUAAUCACAAAUGUAUAAUUUGUUUUCUUCCUGAUUUAUUUCAGAAAAAAAUCAUUGUAAAUACAUUAUUCUCUAUUCCUUAUUUUUGUGGCAAUUUUUUUCUGAAGAUUUAACCUUUUAUUCUUUAUUCUGUAGACCCCAUCAACACAAUCGCUUAUCUGUUCUGUAGUCUAAAACUCUUUAACUCUUUGAACUAACAUUGUGAUGCUCUAUCGUAAGUAUACAACAUUUAUAUUUAUUCAUUCUACUAUCAACCUUGUUCAGUUUGGGGCCCCAGAGUCUUUCCUUUUUCAAAAUCUGGUAUCCAUAUCUGAAAUGUGUGUUUUAUCCUUAGCCCAAACAUCAGUUGGUUCGUUGAUCAUAAAAAAAAUUAAAUAAAAAAGACUUGUAAGUCAUACACAGUUUGGUAUAUGAUAUUUUUGGAAAAGUGUUGUUGCUGUUUUUUGUUUUUUAAAUAUCACCUAUAGUGGAACCCUAGCACUCUAUUUAUGUGUAACAUUAGGAAUUUAUCAAAGUUCAAUUGCAACAGUGCAUAUGUUGUGACUCAUGCAACUUGGUCUACCAAAGUGUUAACCAAGGAAAGAAAUCCUUACAUAGCUAUCACAUUCAGCUAUUUGUAGAUAUAUUUGUCAAUCAUAUAAAAAAAUUUAAGCAAAUAUAUUGACUUUUGGUAAUAUUUUGUUUAGUUUAUACAACAUAUAUAUUUUUGAUUUAAAACAAACUUAAGAC